GUCGUAACAAGGUUUCCGUAGGUGAACCUGCGGAAGGAUCAUUAUCGAGAACAUGCCUUUCGGGGUAGAUCUCCCACCCUGUGCUUACUAUUGCCCUGUUGCUUUGGCAAGCCCGUCCCUAGACCGCUGGCCUUGCUGCUAGCCAGUGCUUGCCAGAGGACCCUAAACCCUCCAAGUAUAUUACUGUCUGAGCACUACAUAAUAGUUUAAAACUUUCAACAACGGAUCUCUUGGUUCUGGCAUCGAUGAAGAACGCAGCGAAAUGCGAUAAGUAAUGUGAAUUGCAGAAUUCAGUGAAUCAUCGAAUCUUUGAACGCACAUUGCGCCCUAUAGUAUUCUGUAGGGCAUGCCUGUUCGAGCGUCAUUUCAACCCUCAAGCACUGCUUGGUAUUGGGUGCCACCGCUGGAGGUGCACCCCAAAAUUAGUGGCGGGGCUGCUUGGCUUCCAGCGUAGUAAACUUCUCGCUGUGGAAACGAGUAGGCCCUAUGCUAGACCCUAAAAUUUUCACAGGUUGACCUCGGAUCAGGUAGGGAUACCCGCUGAACUUAAGCAUAUCAAUAAGCGGAGGAAAAGAAACCAACCGGGAUUGCCCUAGUAACGGCGAGUGAAGCGGCAAGAGCUCAAAUUUGAAAUCUGGCCCUCGGGUCCGAGUUGUAAUUUGUAGAGGAUGCUUCGAACGUGGCCCCGUCUAAGUCCCUUGGAACAGGGCGUCAUAGAGGGUGAGAAUCCUGUAUGCGACUGGGUACCUAAGUUCAUGUGAAGCUCCUUCGACGAGUCGAGUUGUUUGGGAAUGCAGCUCAAAAUGGGUGGUAAAUUUCAUCUAAAGCUAAAUACUGGCCAGAGACCGAUAGCGCACAAGUAGAGUGAUCGAAAGAUGAAAAGCACUUUGGAAAGAGAGUUAAACAGUACGUGAAAUUGUUGAAAGGGAAGCGCUUGUAACCAGACUUGCAUGUAGUUGAUCAUCCGAUGUUCUCACCGGUGCACUCUGCUAUGUUCAGGCCAGCAUCGGUUCUGGUGGUUGGAUAAAGGCCCUAGGAAUGUAGCUUCUCUCGGGGAGUGUUAUAGCCUGGGGUGCAAUGCAGCCCACUGGGACCGAGGACCGCGCUCCGGCUAGGAUGCUGGCGUAAUGGUUAUAAGCGAC
rnacentral:rRNA from 1 species